rnacentral:rRNA from 1 species
CAGUCGCCACGGUAAUACGUAGGUGGCAAGCGUUGUCCGGAAUUAUUGGGCGUAAAGGGCUCGCAGGCGGUUUCUUAAGUCUGAUGUGAAAGCCCCCGGCUCAACCGGGGAGGGUCAUUGGAAACUGGGAAACUUGAGUGCAGAAGAGGAGAGUGGAAUUCCACGUGUAGCGGUGAAAUGCGUAGAGAUGUGGAGGAACACCAGUGGCGAAGGCGACUCUCUGGUCUGUAACUGACGCUGAGGAGCGAAAGCGUGGGGAGCGAACAGGAUUAGAUACCCGUGUAGUCCCUGUCUCUUAUAU